GAUGAAGAACGCAGCGAAAUGCGAUAAGUAAUGUGAAUUGCAGAAUUCAGUGAAUCAUCGAAUCUUUGAACGCACAUUGCGCCCGCCAGUAUUCUGGCGGGCAUGCCUGUCUGAGCGUCAUUUCAACCCUCAUGCCCCUAGGGCGUGGUGUUGGGGAUCGGCCAAAGCCCGCGAGGGACGGCCGGCCCCUAAAUCUAGUGGCGGACCCGUCGUGGCCUCCUCUGCGAAGUAGUGAUAUUCCGCAUCGGAGAGCGACGAGCCCCUGCCGUUAAACCCCCAACUUUCCAAGGUUGACCUCAGAUCAGGUAGGAAUACCCGCUGAACUUAAGCAUAUCAAUAGGCGGAGGA
rnacentral:misc_RNA from 1 species